UGUCGUCAGCUCGUGUUGUGAAAUGUUGGGUUAAGUCCCGCAACGAGCGCAACCCUUAUCCUUUGUUGCCAGCGGUCCGGCCGGGAACUCAAAGGAGACUGCCAGUGAUAAACUGGAGGAAGGUGGGGAUGACGUCAAGUCAUCAUGGCCCUUACGACCAGGGCUACACACGUGCUACAAUGGCGCAUACAAAGAGAAGCGACCUCGCGAGAGCAAGCGGACCUCAUAAAGUGCGUCGUAGUCCGGAUUGGAGUCUGCAACUCGACUCCAUGAAGUCGGAAUCGCUAGUAAUCGUGGAUCAGAAUGCCACGGU
rnacentral:rRNA from 1 species